AUGUAUGCCGUGAGCAGUUUUCCGUGUUUUUUUUUCAUUUCCAUACCCCUCCCUAGCUGGGAGUUAGGUUCCAUUACCACAAUGAUAACGGAACAGAAACGAGAAGUUUGCACAUUGUUCGGAGCGAGAUUAUAUGUAUAUCUGAUCGGUUGCGCUGUGAUUCAUUACCGUUGCACUAAAAUCAAGUACAAAAUUCUUGUAGAUUGUAUUAAACCCCCUGAGUUAACCCCAUAUGUUUGUUCCCUCGCCAAAUGGAUACCGCUGUUUGAAUUUUUUAUGUCGGUUUUGUUUACAAGAGCAUACGAAAAAAGUUUGUCCGUACCCCACUGUUUCUAUUUUUGCUACUGCUGA
rnacentral:rRNA from 1 species